AACGAACGCUGGCAGCAUGCCUAACACAUGCAAGUCGAACGAGACCUUCGGGUCUAGUGGCGCACGGGUGCGUAACGCGUGGGAACCUGCCCUUAGGUUCGGAAUAACUCCCCGAAAGGGGUGCUAAUACCGGAUAAUGUCUUCGGACCAAAGAUUUAUCGCCUUUGGAUGGGCCCGCGUUGGAUUAGCUAGUUGGUAGUGUAAAAGCCUACCAAGGCGACGAUCCAUAGCUGGUCUGAGAGGAUGAUCAGCCACACUGGGACUGAGACACGGCCCAGACUCCUACGGGAGGCAGCAGUGGGGAAUAUUGGACAAUGGGCGAAAGCCUGAUCCAGCAAUGCCGCGUGAGUGAUGAAGGCCUUAGGGUUGUAAAGCUCUUUUACCCGGGAUGAUAAUGACAGUACCGGGAGAAUAAGCUCCGGCUAACUCCGUG
rnacentral:rRNA from 1 species